GAGCGCCAAGCCGGGCCGUGGCGCUUUCUUUUCCGCUUGGCCAGGGGAGAAGGAAGGGCAUUGAGGCUCCGUCUGCCUUACGGGAGUGGCGGCAACGCCCGCGGACACGUCUCCCGGCUCUUCGAGGGGGGAAGUCCCCGCGGAGUUAGAUCAUUUUCUAUUUCUCCCGGGAACCCGACUCCGUGCCAGAGUCUAUAAGUCGGCCUCGGGCCACUCCGCCUUGUGCGUUCCGCCCCGGGGCCCCCCAUCCCGAUGGCCUCCGUCCAUUGCCCGGCACAGCCCAGCGGUCGGCGCGGCCUAGGCCUCCAAGUCAUCCCAGGAGGCCACCUUCCCCUCCCCCACCCGGUUGACGCCGCCUCGAGCUCUCCUCCGUGCUUCUGCUCAAUCGCAUUUUGUGUAGCAGUGCCUAUGAGUUGAAGAUGAAGAUCAUUGUGAUAAAUGUUUUCCAAAAACCUGUCACAGAAGAUGGCUGUGAAAACACAAGGAGGACCGCUGCACAUGUAACAAGGUACCAAAAGUUAUAAUGUUAAGUUGUGUGCUUUUUUUUUUAUGUGUGUGUGGUAUUGUUCCUGAGGCACAAUACCAAAAUGUUUAAUAACUGGCACAGUGAUGACAAGUUACUUUUUGCCGUUUACCCAGCUGAGGGUAUCUUUGAAGAAAUAACUUUAAGACUGAGAUGCCAGUAAUAUAUAUUAUGUGAAUUACUCAAAUCUAAUGCAGUUUUUUAUUAAAAUGGGUGAACUCUUCUUUUCAGCAGAUAAGUACCUGCAAAUGAAUGUUCAAGUGCUUAGCAGUGGUGCUUAAAAACUCUUCAUUACCUCAAGUAAGUGGUUACGAUUUGUCCCGCAGCCACAUGUUGACAGUUUGAAAGUAUCUGAUAAACUCCAGAAAGCUGAGGACAUUUCCUUUCCUGUUGAAGGUGCCUUUGUGUGUCAGGUGUAUGACUUUCAAGUUUUGAGUAUGGAAUGAUUUUCACUGUUGGUUUCUGAUUUUUCCCCAGAGGUGUGGCAAACGACGUUUUCGAAGGAAAAAUGAAGAGUUGUUCAAGAAGACGUGCAUUAAAGCAAGUGACAAAAAUUAAAAUUGUAUUUAAUGUUCAUCUCACAAUAAAUUAUGGAGAAAAGUACA
rnacentral:lncRNA from 1 species